rnacentral:rRNA from 1 species
UACGUAGGGUGCAAGCGUUGUCCGGAAUUAUUGGGCGUAAAGAGCUCGUAGGCGGUUUGUUGCGUCGGCUGUGAAAUCCCGAGGCUCAACCUCGGGUCUGCAGUCGAUACGAGCAAACUAGAGUGUUGCAGGGGAGACUGGAAUUCCUGGUGUAGCGGUGAAAUGCGCAGAUAUCAGGAGGAACACCGGUGGCGAAGGCGGGUCUCUGGGCAACAACUGACGCUGAGGAGCGAAAGCGUGGGGAGCAAAACGG